GUAUAUGUAUAUAUCUCCUUGCUGGAUUGGGGAGUCAGAUCAACUCCCAGGAGAGUACCAAAGGCUGCGGUGGAAGUGAGAGGUGGAGCUGGUGCCAGCAGCAGGAGGCAUACGGAGGAUGCCGAACACUGAAUCGCAGGCCUGCAGUCUGGGACGAGUUACACAUGACCUUCGAGCUGGCCACACAGGCUGCUGUUGCUAGCAGGAGAAAGCCCUCCCCUUCCUCCAACUCUGCACGUCCCUCAUUUUGGCUGCAGCCUGAGACAGCAGCAAAACAACAGCAAGGGGGAAGUUUGCAACAAGGAGCAGGAACCUCCCCCUCCAGGAGCAGCUGGAACUGCUCAUUUGUACACCAGGAAUACACAAAUAUAUUUUCGACUAGAAUAACCA